rnacentral:ncRNA from 2 species
GGAAACCGGAAAUUUAAAAUUGAAACAACGACCUUUCAGUCAAGGGAAACCGGUGCAAGACCGGUGCUGCCCCGCAACUGUAAAGGGGGACCGAUGCCGCAGAGAUGCCACUGUCUGAUGACGGGAAGGCGCGGCAGGCGGGAUGAUCCCCAAGCCAGGAGACCUGGCUGGAAGGUGAAAAAACC